GAUGAACGCUGGCGGCGUGCCUAAUACAUGCAAGUAGAACGCUGAAGGAAGGAGCUUGCUCUUUCCGGAUGAGUUGCGAACGGGUGAGUAACGCGUAGGUAACCUGCCUGGUAGCGGGGGAUAACUAUUGGAAACGAUAGCUAAUACCGCAUAACAGUAGAUGUUGCAUGAUAUCUACUUAAAAGGUGCAAUUGCACCACUACCAGAUGGACCUGCGUUGUAUUAGCUAGUUGGUGAGGUAACGGCUCACCAAGGCGACGAUACAUAGCCGACCUGAGAGGGUGAUCGGCCACACUGGGACUGAGACACGGCCCAGACUCCUACGGGAGGCAGCAGUAGGGAAUCUUCGGCAAUGGACGGAAGUCUGACCGAGCAACGCCGCGUGAGUGAAGAAGGUUUUCGGAUCGUAAAGCUCUGUUGUAAGAGAAGAACGAGUGUGAGAGUGGAAAGUUCACACUGUGACGGUAUCUUACCAGAAGGGACGGCUAACUACGUG
rnacentral:rRNA from 1 species